rnacentral:rRNA from 1 species
UACGUAGGGUGCGAGCGUUGCCCGGAUUUAUUGGGCGUAAAGGGCGCGUAGGCGGUCACGCACGUCCGUUGUGAAAUCGCUCGGCUCAACUGGGCGGGGUCAGCGGAUACGGUGUGACUGGAGCAAGCUAGGGGGCAAUGGAAUUCCCGGUGUAGUGGUGGAAUGCGUAGGUAUCGGGAGGAACACCAGUGGCGAAGGCGGCUCACUGGACCGGUUCUGACGCUGAGGCGCGAAAGCGUGGGGAGCAAACGGG